CCUACGGGGGACAGCAGUGAGGAAUAUUGGUCAAUGGACGGGAGACUGAACCAGCCAAGCCGCGUGAAGGAAGAAGGCACUGUGAGUUGUAAACUGCUUUUGUCCGGGGACAAAAGCAGGGACGUGUAUCCGGAUGAGAGUAUCGUAAGAAAAAGCAUCGGCUAACUCCGUGCCAGCAGCCGCGGUAAUACGGAGGAUUCAAGCGUUAUCCGGAUUUAUUGGGUUUAAAGGGUGCGCAGGCGGUCGGAUAAGGUAGAGGUGAAAGCCCGGGGCUCAACCUCGGAAUUGCCUUUGAAACUGUUCGUCUCGAGGGUGGGAGAGGUAGGCGGAAUGCGUGGUGUAGCGGUGAAAUGCAUAGAUAUCAUGCAGAACACCGAUUGCGAAGGCAGCUUGCCGGGUCCCCACUGACGCUGAGGCACGAAAGCGUGGGGAGCGAACAGGAUUAGAUACCCUAGUAGUC
rnacentral:rRNA from 1 species